GACGAACGCUGGCGGCGUGCUUAACACAUGCCAGUCGAACGGAAAGGCCCUGCUUUUGUGGGGUGCUCGAGUGGCGAACGGGUGAGUAACACGUGAGUAACCUGCCCUUGACUUUGGGAUAACUUCAGGAAACUGGGGCUAAUACCGGAUAGCAGCUCCUGCUGCAUGGUGGGGGUUGGAAAGUUUCGGCGGGUGGGGAUGGACUCGCGGCUUAUCAGCUUGUUGGUGGGGUAGUGGCUUACCAAGGCUUUGACGGGUAGCCGGCCUGAGAGGGUGACCGGCCACAUUGGGACUGAGAUACGGCCCAGAGUCCUACGGGAGGCAGCAGUGGGGAAUAUUGCACAAUGGGCGGAAGCCUGAUGCAGCAACGCCGCGUGCGGGAUGACGGCCUUCGGGUUGCAAACCGCUUUCGCCUGUGACGAAGCGUGAGUGACGGUAAUGGGUAAAGAAGCACCGGCUAACUACGUG
rnacentral:rRNA from 1 species